rnacentral:rRNA from 1 species
UGUGUAGGCGGCUCCCUAAGUUUGGUGUGAAAUCUCCCGGCUCAACCGGGAGGGUGCGCCGAAAACUGGGGGGCUAGAGUGCGGGAUGGGAGAGUGGAAUUCCUGGUGUAGCGGUGAAAUGCGUAGAUAUCAGGAGGAACACCGGUGGUGCAGACGGCUCUCUGGACCGUAACUGACGCUGAGACACGAAAGCGUGGGUAGCAAACAGGAUUAGAUACCCUGGUAGUCCACGCCCUAAACGAUGCAUAUUUGGUGUAGGUCAUUCAGUUGAUCUGUGCCGGAGCUAACGCGUUAAAUAUGCCGCCUGGGGAGUACAGUCGCAAGGCUGAA